UAAUCAUAAUCAGUAAUGUUAUGCUGCCACAAUGUAAUUGGCCACACGUGGCAGUUUUGUAAAUAGUUGAAACAGAUAAUAUUAUUGGUAGAGGCCACCGUUUAUCUUCUCCUUCGUUUGGUACACCUCAAAUUUGUCGCAGAACCGGAAGAAAAAUCUCAGAUCUCGCUGGAAUUGAUAAUAGAAUCGGCAAUUGAGGCAUUCCACUAUCUGAGCAAAUUUAUGGUCGCAGGUGCUCUCGGGUCUGAUGGUGCUAGCGGAGUCGUGGGAAGGGAACAAUGCUUGCCAACAAUGGCAAUUCAUCCACUGCGAUGCGCAAGGGAGCAAUGUGGCGAUUGUGAACAUGGCGAAGCAGGGGUUUUCGGGCACUAUAUCGCCUGCGUUUGCUAAUCUCACUUCGCUGAGGACUUUGGUGCUGAGUGAUAACAAGCUCACAGGUGACAUUCCCUGAAUUUGACCCAUACGAAAGAGAUGCAAUGAGGUAUGGAGCUUGUGUUUAUACCCUGAAAUUGAGGACAACAUUAUCCCCCAAAUUUCAAACCCUGAAUUUGGGGGUUUUAUUUUCUGGUAUCCCCUAUUUCAAAUUUCUUCUCAAGCGCAUCAAAUUGAACAAUGGGUUGAGAAAUAUCCGUCGCACAUAUUUAAAUUGGAAUUUUGCUAAUGUGUUUCGAAAGAUCCGUCGCAUAUAUGAAUUAUAAGUUCGAAUAUAUGUUUUGAAAUGCUCUGCAGGGUUGAUAAUGCAUUUUUUGGAUUUGUUCUGCGAUGUGUCUAAGGAAUUUCUCCGAUAGUAACUAUGGUUGUGUUCAUUGUGGACUUAUAUCUUUCGGUUGUUGAGUCUAAAGUGUGCAUUGAUAAUUUGAGCUGUUAUUUCCGAUACCCUUUUUUGUUGUUGUUUGUUCAAUUUGUUUGCUUGGAGCUGUGUUCUGCUCGUUUUUGUGGAAGAAAUUAACAUUGCAGUGAUGAUAUUGUUGUUUUGCCAUGAACUUUCAUUGUUGAACUUCCAUUGUUUUCAAAUUGUGUAGGAUGGUUAACGAAAGUCAGCGAAAGAAGAAUGAGUCAGAGACAGUUGUUAUUAUGAUCGAGGACAUCGUCGUUAUGAACGAGACGUUCUCAGAUUUGAAAAAGAAAAACUGAUACCUGACGGGCUGUGAGUUUUUUCUUCGCAUGUGUUGACAUCGCAGCUGUAUUGGAUGGAGAAGAUGUAUUUCGUGGAAUUGUGGUGGAAUGAGGGUAACAAGAAGGUGUUCAUAUGCAUGGAGAAUGGGAGAAGGAUGGCGCCAAAGUUAAAGAAAGUAGGCGCAUACUCAAGGAUAUCAUUGACGUUUCCCUUAUUAUCCACAUGUGUGUAUCUCUCAACCUAUUUCUACCAAACAUUCGAUUCUCAAUUUGGAAAAAAUAUACUACCAAACACUGUUAGAGCA